rnacentral:rRNA from 1 species
AGAGUUUGAUCCUGGCUCAGGACGAACGCUGGCGGCGUGCCUAAUACAUGCAAGUAGAACGCUGAAGAGAGGAGCUUGCUCUUCUUGGAUGAGUUGCGAACGGGUGAGUAACGCGUAGGUAACCUGCCUUGUAGCGGGGGAUAACUAUUGGAAACGAUAGCUAAUACCGCAUAACAAUGGGUGACACAUGUCAUUUAUUUGAAAGGGGCAAUUGCUCCACUACAAGAUGGACCUGCGUUGUAUUAGCUAGUAGGUGAGGUAACGGCUCACCUAGGCGACGAUACAUAGCCGACCUGAGAGGGUGAUCGGCCACACUGGGACUGAGACACGGCCCAGACUCCUACGGGAGGCAGCAGUAGGGAAUCUUCGGCAAUGGGGGCAACCCUGACCGAGCAACGCCGCGUGAGUGAAGGAGGUUUUCGGAUCGUAAAGCUCUGUUGUAAGUCAAGAACGAGUGUGAGAGUGGAAAGUUCACACUGUGACGGUAGCUUACCAGAAAGGGACGGCUAACUACGUGCCAGCAGCCGCGGUAAUACGUAGGUCCCGAGCGUUGUCCGGAUUUAUUGGGCGUAAAGCGAGCGCAGGCGGUUUGAUAAGUCUGAAGUUAAAGGCUGUGGCUCAACCAUAGUUCGCUUUGGAAACUGUCAAACUUGAGUGCAGAAGGGGAGAGUGGAAUUCCAUGUGUAGCGGUGAAAUGCGUAGAUAUAUGGAGGAACACCGGUGGCGAAAGCGGCUCUCUGGUCUGUAACUGACGCUGAGGCUCGAAAGCGUGGGGAGCGAACAGGAUUAGAUACCCUGGUAGUCCACGCCGUAAACGAUGA